rnacentral:misc_RNA from 1 species
UUAUUAUCAAUUAUUUUUUAUGGACAUUUUUUAUUAUCAAUUUCUAAUUUUUUUGUAUUUUUUUGAGUCUUUUGAGAUCAAUUUACACUGUUUGUGUUUUGAUUUUAUCGCUUUCGAUAGGCGUUGCGUUCUUCAAUGGCUUUGCUAAUCCAGAAGUACGCGUCAACGGAAGCGUAAAUAAAUUUCAAUUCCAUCUUAUCUGAGUAUGUAAUUUAGUACAUUAUAGCUGCUGCGUUUUGUUUAAUAAAGCGUAGCGAUUGUUGGGAUUGUGCCAAUUUUUUUGGUUGAAAUUAUGUUGUGAUUGAAUGAUUUGUUGUUGCUUCAUACUGGUGAACUCUUCCUAUUGAAGUGGAAGAUGUUCAUGUUUCCGAAGCAUAGAUUGAUCUCCAGUAUUAAACAGCACAGUGUAUUCCUUUCUAUGUAUUUUCACUGUGUUACCUGUCUCCUGGUACAUUUUCUUGCAAAAAAAUUGGCACNUGAAUGUUUUUUUCUUCUUUUUAAUUGAGUUGAUUGGGAUUCAAAAAAAAAAAAAAAAAAAAAAA